AGAGUCCUGGAGGUCCUGCAGCAGUUAGGACCACAAGCUUCACUCAGGUGUCAUCUCUUGUGUUGACCAUGAAGUGUUUAGAUAAAAACUCUUUUCAUUUAGAGAGGUUGCCUUAUUUAUCUCCCCUGUAUGGCCAGAUUUUUAUGCGAUUAAAAUGUUUGAUGGAAGCAUCAGUGGAAGAGAAAGGUUUCCUAACGAUGUUUGAUGACGUUAGUGGCUUUGGAGCUUGGCAUAGACGUUGGUGUGUGUUGUCAGGGAACAAAUUGUGUGUCUGGAAAUAUCCAGAUGAUGAAACUAGAAAGGUAAAGCGUGUGUUAUGUCUUUAUUUGUGAGUAUUGUUCUUAUUUUUUUUCUCUCAAAAUUAUGUAACUUGAAUGUUAGAAGGUGUCAAUUUAGUAAUACACCAAAGAACUGCAGUUUAGAAAUUAAUUUGAUUAGAGUGAAAUAUUUUCAAACUCCAUCAAAUGAAAUGAAUAACCUUAAACAUAAAUUUUGUGCUGUGCAUAAAUUGUAUACUACUAAGGCAGCUUGACUGACAAAAACC
rnacentral:sRNA from 1 species